rnacentral:rRNA from 1 species
UAACGGCAAGUGAAGCGGCAAGAGCUCAAAUUUGAAAGCUGGCCCCUUCGGGGUCCGCGUUGUAAUUUGCAGAGGAUGCUUCGGGUGCGGCCCCUGUCUAAGUGCCCUGGAACGGGCCGUCAGAGAGGGUGAGAAUCCCGUCUUGGGCAGGGUGCCCGUGCCCGUGUGAAGCUCCUUCGACGAGUCGAGUUGUUUGGGAAUGCAGCUCUAAAUGGGUGGUAAAUUUCAUCUAAAGCUAAAUACCGGCCGGAGACCGAUAGCGCACAAGUAGAGUGAUCGAAAGAUGAAAAGCACUUUGAAAAGAGAGUUAAACAGCACGUGAAAUUGUUGAAAGGGAAGCGCUUGCGACCAGACUCGGCCCCGGGGUUCAGCCAGCAUUCGUGCUGGUGUACUUCCCCGGGGGCGGGCCAGCGUCGGUUUGGGCGGCCGGUCAAAGGCCCCAGGAAUGUAUCGCCCUCCGGGGUUGUCUUAUAGCCUGGGGUGCAAUGCGGCCAGCCCGGACCGAGGAACGCGCUUCGGCACGGACGCUGGCGUAAUGGUCGCAAACGACCCGUCUUGAAACACGGACCAAGGAGUCUAACAUCUACGCGAGUGUUCGGGUGUCAAACCCGUACGCGCAGUGAAAGCGAACGGAGGUGGGAGCCCCCCCGGGGCGCACCAUCGACCGAUCCUGAUGUCUUCGGAUGGAUUUGAGUAAGAGCGUAGCUGUGGGGACCCGAAAGAUGGUGAACUAUGCCUGAAUAGGGCGAAGCCAGAGGAAACUCUGGUGGAGGCUCGCAGCGGUUCUGACGUGCAAAUCGAUCGUCAAAUUUGGGUAUAGGGGCGAAAGACUAAUCGAACCAUCUGGUAGCUGGUUCCUGCCGAAGUUUCCC